UUUUUUUUUUUUUUUUUUUACCUCUAAUGAAGGCAAGUAAUUAAGAGGAAAAGGUUUGUUUAAUUAAAUAGGUCACAAGGUUGCAUGUUUUGCUGCCUCUUCAUACUCUUUGCAGUCUCUUCCUCCACUUUGUCUCUUCCUUUUAAAUCUUCUGUAAUAUAUGUACUGAAGAAUUAUAAAUAAGUCAAGGAGGACACAAACAACAGCAUCAAGCAGCCAUGGCAUAUUGGCUUUGAUCUUCUCCCAUUCUGUACUUCUCACUAAAAUGCUUGCUACAUAAGUAGCAUUGGCAAUCAAGGCAAACACAAACAUAAGAGGAUUCAGCCCCUCCACACUUCCUCUUUUGAUAUUUAGCCAAAUCUGAGGGAGCCUACCACCCAUAUAAAUAGCAGCCAUAAGCCAACCCAACAAUUGGCCAAAACCACUAUGACUUGGAUGUUCUUGUAAAAGUUUCCUUCCACUAAAUCCAUCUGAGAAGCCCUUGCUUUGGAAUGGCAAAUUUGCUGAUGAAACUAAAAAUGUUCCAUACCCAACCGAUCGAGGAAUGGGCCUAGGCUGGGUGACUGUGGAAUGGGAGAAGACGGCGGCGGUUUCGGAUUCAUCGUCGGAAGAGGAGCUGUCGUUGCCGAGGGCAGAGGGCCCACUUUUCGGUAGGCGGAGAAACGCCCGAAACGGCGGCGUGUCGCUUCCGGCCAACGAUCGAGCUGACGUGUAGUAGAAUUCUCGGCGAGGAGUUGGCUUCGGCGAAGCUUUCGGAAUUGGAAUUCCGGCAUAACUAACCACUUUACUGCUUUUCAACGGCGUUUUUUCCUCUUCCGCCGUUUGGUGAGAUUUCCCCUUCCGGUCGCUACACCAUCUAGUGACGUAAUCAUAAUAAACACUCUGCAGUACCAAAACUAUCGUAUUCACUGUGUACAGCAGUGCUGUGUAGAGCUGAGUGGGGAGCGUGGCUGGUUCGAGAAGGCAGCCCACAAGAUUAAAGGCGUCACCGGCGACCCAAGUGAGGAGGAAGAGAAGGGAGACGCCAUGGCUGGAUUUUGUACGGAAAUUGGUAACGAUUUGAGGUAUCUCAGCAAGCCCCCAACAGACCAGACUUACAAGCCCCAACCCGAACGACAUGUCGUCUCUCAGAUUGCAAAGACAGUCCUUGAAAUAGGUUUCCACCCAUCCCACGCAUCGCUUCUGCUCCUUCACACAAUACCAACCC
rnacentral:misc_RNA from 1 species